GAUUAAAAUAGCCGUUAAAAUUCUUUGACUGUCAAGUUUCAACUGGUAAAAUUCAGUUUGGACUUGGUUUCAGUUGCAAAUAAGUAGAUUUUUAAAAAAGGAAAAUUUUCAAGUUUAUAUUUAAAUAAAUAGAAGAUCUAUUUGACUGUAUUGCUGUUUAGUUAUCUGUGAUAUUUGUGCGCUUGGUGUGAGGUCUUGUGAAUAAUAUUUCGGAAUUUUUUUAAAGCACUUGAAAUUUUCAUAUUCGACAAUGUUGCUGAACUUCCAGACAGUAUCAAUAGUAUUAGCCACAUUAAUACCAACAGGUUUGAGCAUAAAAUGCUUUCAGUGCAGUUCAGCUGAAGAUCCAAAAUGUGCUGACAUCCAAGCAAAUGACACUACUAGUCCCUUCCUAAAAGAAUGUAAAGGUGUUUAUAAUGGUCACACACCUUUUGUAGGAAAUUAGUAACUUUAGUUCUGGAAGGUGAGAAUAAAAGGAUAACAAGAACCUGCGGAUGGCUAACAGAGAAAGACGAAACUAGGGCUGAUUCCUGCACGAAAAAAGAUUCAGAUUUUAUUUUCAAGACUUCCUGUAACUGUUUUUCGGACAAUUGUAACCACAGCACAAAUUUAAACAUUACAUUCUCAGUAUUUUUAAUGUGUCUAUUUAUCAGUUUGUCAAAAUACAUUGGUUGUACUUAAGAAAAUGUGAAAAAUUUGUGUUUUCUUCUAUGAAUAAGAAGAUUAAGGAAGAAGCAAAUCAACAAACUUGAGUGGAACGCGAUGGGAGAUUAAUAUUGAUUUAUCAGUGUCAUUCUAAUUUUAUUUAAAACUUGUAAAAAUAUAAAGUAGAGUAGACUCAGUUGUUAAUAAAUCUCCUUAGUUAUUUAA